rnacentral:rRNA from 1 species
GUGCCAGCAGCCGCGGUAAUACGUAGGUGGCAAGCGUUGUCCGGAUUUAUCGGGCGUAAAGCGAGCGCAGGCGGUUUCUUAAGUCUGAUGUGAAAGCCCCCGGCUCAACCGGGGAGGGUCAUUGGAAACUGGGAGACUUGAGUGCAGAAGAGGAGAGUGGAAUUCCAUGUGUAGCGGUGAAAUGCGUAGAUAUAUGGAGGAACACCAGUGGCGAAAGCGGCUCUCUGGUCUGUAACUGACGCUGAGCUCGAAAGCGUGGGGAGCAAACAGGAUUAGAUACCCUGGUAGUCC